AAGUGUGGGGUUAACGUUAAUUGGAUUAAUUUCCCUGAAGACUUAGAAUCGACUACCCUACCUUACCUGAAGUGCCAUAUUUAAUAGAGCUGAUCAUAUUUCAAGCUGGAAUACUCUAUUGAGAAAUGCAGUCCAUGUGAGAAUUCCUUUUGUGGUGCAGAUGUGAAGAAUCAGUGCAAAGGCUGCUUGUCUCCCAUUUGCCUCUUGGUUCGCUUCUUGGCAGGGGUCCAUCCUAUCAAGUUGGGAAUUUCAGGCCACGAACAGCAGUAAGAUGAGGAAACUGAGGCAUGGAGUGAUUAAUUUGCCCAAGACCACAGAUCAAGUGAUGAAGCUGAAUUCAGGCACAAGCAGUCUCACCCCAAGCUCAUGUCCAUAAAUACCAUUCCUUGUAUCCUUUCUAUGUUUGGGCGGUCAACUACAUGACCAGCCCUGAUGAAUCUAAAGGAGCCUAAGGAUGCCAAGAAGAGCUAGUCAUACUCUACCCUUGAGGAUCCACAGGCUUACACCAUCCCACAAUUCACUGCAGUGUUCUCUACCCAAAAGAGAACCAAAG